GUUUCCAAGUUUUCCCACCAGUUAGUCACUCUGAAACCGAAUGGAGCUGAGAAAAAAGCCCUAAAACUCUACAAUUCUUCCGGUUGCUCUCCGCCUGAUAGACCACAAUAUCAGAAAUAUCUGGUUCGUUGAAAUCCUACCGGAGCAUCCAAGAGCUUUGCACCCUCAAAGCAGCAUAAUUUUUCCCCGUUUCCCUUCCUCUUCUUCCCUUUUCACUCUCUAAGGUGAAUGGGUUGUAGUGAGCCUGAUAUAUCAAGUCAUCCACAAGAAGAGAGUGACUACAAUGAACUUCCAACGUCAUUUAGAUUGGAUAUUGAUGUUCAACGUGAUUGUCGAAGCUCAAAAGAUUCCUCUGCCGAAAGGAGUCCGGCAGUUAUUGACCAUGAACAUGAUUCUCCGAGAGAGUGUCAAAGUCCAAAAGGUUCCUCUUUUGAGAAGAGGCUGGUGGUUAUUGAUACUGAGCAGGAGUAUCAGAGUCCAAUUCCUUCUUCUAUUGACAAGAACCAGGUGGAAAUUGACUGCGAGGAGUGUGAAACUCCAAAAUUUUACUCUGUGAGUAAGUGUGAGAUGGAUGUAGAUGGUGAGCAGGAGUUGCAGAGGCCAAAUGUUCCCUGUGCUGAUUUACCAGGAGCUGGUAUGGCCAUGAAAGGUGAGGAAUACAUUUAUGUGUUACCGCAAAUUGGGGUGGAGUUUGAGUCAGAAGACCAUGCAUACAAUUGUUACAGUAGAUAUGCUGUGCUGGAAGGUUUCAGCAUUAGAAAAGAUUUCGUAAAUAAAAGUAGGAUAAAUGGUAUAGUUGUUUCAAGAAGGUACACUUGUUAUAGACAAGGAUAUCGGCCUAUCCAACAUAAUGCCAACGUGAGGAAAUCCCGGCAGGAAACAAGAACUGGUUGCUUGGCACACAUGACCAUUGCACGUCAACCCAAUGGCAAGUUUUGUGUUACUCAUUUUGAACCUAAGCACAAUCAUGAGUUUGUUGCCCCUUGUACAACUUAUCUGUUACCAUCACAGAAGAGAUUGAAUUUUGCUCAAGCAGUUGAAGCCAACUUGGGUGAUAAAUCUGGAAUAGAUGGGGUGCCAAAACUUGGAAUGGGGUUUGACUCAGAAGAUCACGCAUAUGAGUUUUACAACACAUAUGCUGGACGGGUAGGUUUUAGUGUUCGGAAGGAUUAUGUAAAUAGGAGCAAAAUAAAUGGUUCUGUGGUCUCUAGAAGGUUUACCUGUUUUAGAGAAGGUUUUCGGCAGAGAGACAAACGGGACAUGAAUGUGAAGAGGCCUAGAAAGGAGACAAGAAUUGGCUGUUUGGCGCAAUUGGUCAUAUCUCGGCAACCUGAUGAUAGAUACCGUGUCACUCACUUUGAAGAAAAGCACAAUCAUGAGCUUGUUGCUGCUUGUAGAGUUCACAUGUUGCGGUCGCAAAAGAGAUUAAUUGCAGCUCAAGUUUUUGAAGGCGAUUUAGUGGAUUGUUCUAAUAUGCAGCCAGAAUCAUCCUCUGAGUUAAUAUGUAAGACAGGUAGAGACACUGAUAAUCACGGUUAUGAUCCCAUAGAUUAUAAAAAUAAACUUCCUUUCAAAUGUAUGCGAGGAAUGAGAGAGGGAGAAUCAGCCAGACUGCAGCAAUUUUUUCAGAGCAAGCAAUUGAAAAACCCUUCCUUUUUUUAUGCUUUUCAACCUGAUGUAGAUGAUCAAGUAACUAAUGUUUUCUGGGUUGACACCAAGAUGGAGAUGGACUACGGUGAUUUUGGUGAUGUGAUCUGCUUUGAUACAACUUACAGAUUACAGAAAGAUAGCCGACCAUUCACACCUUUCAUUGGAAUAAAUCAUCAUAAGCAAAUGCUGAUCUUUGGUGCUGCACUUUUAUAUGAUGAAAGUGUUGAAUCUUACAAGUGGCUCUUCCAAACUUUCCUAGAGGCCAUGUCGGGAAAGAAGCCAAAAACUAUACUCACAGAUCAAGAUGCACUGAUGGCUGAAGCAAUUGAUAAGGUAUUUCCUGAAACACUGCAUCGAAUUUGUGUUUGGCAUGUGUACCAAAAUGCACUUAAACAACUGAGCUACAUGUUUGCCGGCUCUGGUUCUUUUAUCAAUGAUUUAAGCAGUUGUCUUUUUUAUCAUGAGGAUGAGGAGGAUUUCAUUAAUGCAUGGAAGGUAUUGUUGGAUGUAUACGGUCUUUGGGAAAAUGAGUGGUUGCAUGAGACGUUUGAAUAUAGAGAGAAAUGGGCCACAGCUUAUGGAAGGCAUAUUUUUUGUGCUGACAUAAAAGCUGUACUGCUACGUGAAAGUUUUACUGAAAACCUAAGAAAGUACUUAAAGUCAGACUCGGAUGUGCUUCUGCUGUGCAAGCAUCUUGGAAAGGUCGUAAAUGAUUGGCACUACAAAGAACUAGAGGGUAAUUACAACAUGCACCACCAUCUGCCAGAACUUAUGGGUGAUGUGAUUCUUUUGAAGCAUGCGAGGAAUAUGUACACACCAAGGAUAUUUGAAUUGUUCCAGCAAGAGUAUGAAACAUGCCUAAAUAUCAUUGUGAAUCAAUGCACUCAGACUGGGCCGUUGUUUGAGUACAAAGUUAGCAUAUAUGGGCAACCACGAGAGUACAUAGUUACUUUUGAUUCAUCUACUGAAACAGUUGCCUGUAAUUGUAUGAAAUUUGAGUUUAUGGGAGUUUUGUGCAGCCAUGCAUUGAAAGUACUCGACUAUAGGAAUAUAAAGAUUCUCCCUUCCAAAUACAUUCUGAAGAGGUGGAGUAAAGAUGCUAGGGUCUGAAAUUAUGGACGGAAGUCGCUUGGGGCACUGCAUAGGAAGACAUCUCCAUUGCUGCUUCUAUAGAAGAAAAUCACUUUCAAUCGCAAAACCAUUUACUUUGAACUGUUGGAAGGGGCCUCAAUAUGCUUCAAAUUAUCAUUAGGCAGAUAUUGACUGAAAAAAAAGACGCACAGUACUUAAGAUCCGUUAUGGACCAUCUUGAAAGACCAUGGUGUAACUUUUUUAUGGCAGCUGACCACAGUAUGUUGUACCAUCAUCCUGAGGCUAGGGGUACACUCAAAUUAUGAGAUGCUGAAACCUAUUUCCAAAUGGAAAUUCCACAGCCUUCCACAACUUCUACACUUCGUAGAACAAUUCUUGGUACAGGUAAAAAUGGACUACAUUUUGUAGAACAAUUCUUGGUACAGGUAAAAAUGGAAAGACCGUACAAUUUUUUGUCCACUAACCAACUACACUCUUCAUA